rnacentral:rRNA from 1 species
GACGAACGCUGGCGGCGUGCUUAACACAUGCAAGUCGAACGGAAAGGCCCUGCUUUUGUGGGGUGCUCGAGUGGCGAACGGGUGAGUAACACGUGAGUAACCUGCCCUUGACUUUGGGGUAACUUCAGGAAACUGGGGCUAAUACCGGAUAGGAGCUCCUGCUGCAUGGUGGGGGUUGGAAAGUUUCGGCGGUUGGGGAUGGACUCGCGGCUUAUCAGCUUGUUGGUGGGGUAGUGGCUUACCAAGGCUUUGACGGGUAGCCGGCCUGGGAGGGUGACCGGCCACAUUGGGACUGAGAUACGGCCCAGACUCCUACGGGAGGCAGCAGUGGGGAAUAUUGCACAAUGGGCGGAAGCCUGAUGCAGCAACGCCGCGUGCGGGAUGACGGCCUUCGGGUUGUAAACCGCUUUCGCCUGUGACGAAGCGUGAGUGACGGUAAUGGGUAAAGAAGCACCGGCUAACUACGUG